UACGAAGGGGGCUAGCGUUGCUCGGAAUGACUGGGCGUAAAGGGCGCGUAGGCGGAUGGCACAGUCAGAUGUGAAAUUCCCGGGCUUAACCUGGGGGCUGCAUUUGAUACGUGUGAUCUAGAGUGGGGAAGAGGGUCGUGGAAUUCCCAGUGUAGAGGUGAAAUUCGUAGAUAUUGGGAAGAACACCGGUGGCGAAGGCGGCGACCUGGUCCUUGAC
rnacentral:rRNA from 1 species